GAGUGUCUGUUUUUUUGUCUCCUUCCUUAUUAAGAGGCUGCGGCUGAAAACAAUAAAUUCUUUUGCCUGACCUCGGAUCAGACGUGAUUACCCGCUGAAUUUAAGCAUAUUAUUAAGCGGAGGAAAAGAAACUAACAAGGAUUCCCCUAGUAACGGCGAGUGAACGGGAAGAGCCCAACACCGAAUCCCUUGGCGCAAGUCAACGGGAAAUGUGGUGUUAAGGUAGCCCUUCGUGUCAGUCUAGGCGUCUCAAGUCCACCUGAUUGUGGCUCAAGCCCAGAGAGGGUGUAAGGCCCGUAGAGACGCUCCGAC
rnacentral:ncRNA from 1 species